rnacentral:rRNA from 1 species
GACAGAGGGGGCAAGCGUUGCUCGGAAUUACUGGGCGUAAAGGGCGCGUAGGCGGGAUGGCAAGUCGGUCGUGAAAUCCCUCGGCUCAACCGAGGAACGUCGAUCGAUACUGCUGUUCUUGAGGAUUGCAGAGGAGACUGGAAUUCCUGGUGUAGCGGUGAAAUGCGCAGAUAUCAGGAGGAACACCGAUGGCGAAGGCAGGUCUCUGGGCAUUAACUGACGCUGGAGGAGCGAAAAGCCAUGGGGAGCGAACAGG